rnacentral:rRNA from 1 species
GACGAACUGUCCUAACGUUGUUCGGAAUCACUGGGCUUAAAGGGCGCGUAGGCGGUCCGACAAGUCAGGGGUGAAAUCCUGCAGCUUAACUGUAGAAGUGCCUUUGAUACUGUCGGUCUGGAGGGAGAUAGGGGUGUGCGGAACUCACAGUGGAGCGGUGAAAUGCGUUGAUAUUGUGAGGAACGCCGGAGGCGAAAGCGGCGCACUGGAUCUCUUCUGACGCUGAGGCGCGAAAGCUAGGGGAGCAAACGGG